rnacentral:rRNA from 1 species
UACGGAGGGUGCGAACGUUAAUCUGAAUCACUGGGCGUAAAGCGCGCGUAGGCGGUCUGUUAAGUGGGAUGUGAAAUCCCCGGGCUUAACCUGGGAAUUGCAUUUCAAACUGGCCGACUAGAGUACGGUAGAGGGAGGUAGAAUUUCCUGUGUAGCGGUGAAAUGCGUAGAUAUAGGAAGGAAUACCAGUGGCGAAGGCGGCCUCCUGGAUCGAUACUGACGCUGAGGCGCGAAAGCGUGGGGAGCAAACAGG